rnacentral:rRNA from 1 species
AUGGCGGCGGCACAUAAGUUGGUCGUGGAGGUCACAAGUGCUCAGGGCCUGAUGCCCAAGGAUGGGCAAGGCUCUUCGAGCGCCUAUGUCGAGCUCUGCUUCGACGGCCAGCGGUUCCGCACCGCCACCAAGGGGAAGGAUCUGAACCCAGUGUGGAACGAGCGCUUCUACUUCGACGUCUCCGACCCAUCGCUUCUUCCCGAGCUAGCUCUUGAUGCAUAUGUAGUACACAGCAGAGUCAAAGAAUCCGAGGUCGUUGACCUUGGCAAGGUCAGAGUUGCCGGGGCCUCAUUCCUGCCCUUCGCUGAUGCCGCCGUGGUGCCAUAUGUGCUGAAGAAGCGCCGGCUGCUGUCGCAUGUGAAAGGCACAUUGGCCCUCAAAGUAUACAUCACCGAUGACACCUCCAUCACGGCUUCUAAUAACCUCGAAAGCAUAUUACGAAAUCAAAGUUCAACACCGCACAGCAUACCGCUGCUGCAUUUGAAAGAAAUCACAAAUAAUUUCUCCGAUGAGCGAGUGCUUGGCCGAGGUGGUUUUGGUGUGGUAUAUAGGGGUGUGCUGCAAAAUGGGGAAAUGAUUGCUGUGAAAAAGAUGAUGCCAUCAUUAUUGCCAGGCCCACAGAAGCAGUUUGAGAAUGAAGUUUAUCAUCUUAUGAAGCUCAAGCACCCCAAUAUAGUGCGAUGUAUAGGCUAUCGUUAUGAAAUACAAAAUGCGUGUGUAGAGUUCAAUGGGAAAUACGUUUUUGCUGAGCAGACGGAAAGGUUACUUUGCUUGGAGUAUCUUCACAAGAGAAGCCUUGAUAUGUAUCUAUCAGAUGAAUCUUCUGGACUUGACUGGAGCACACGCUACAAAAUAAUUAAGGGGAUUUCAUAUGGUUUAUGUCACCUCCAUGAGCAGAAUGAUAAGCCCAUUUUACACUUGGACCUAAAACCUGCCAACAUAUUGCUCGAUGACAGUAUGGAGCCGAAAAUUACAGACUUCGGUCUGUCAAGAUUGCUUGAUCAAGAACAAACUAUUUGCACUUCGUCUCGUGAUGGAACAUUCGGUUACAUGGCACCAGAAUUUUUACAUGGAGGUACUAUUACACCAAAGUCGGACAUAUUCAGUUUGGGUGUGAUAAUUAUGGAGAUAGUAACAGGACACAGGGACUACCCAGAUGUUACUCGAACAUCUUCAGAUGACUUUAUUGAGCUUGCACUUAAAAAAUGGAGAAAUAUGUUAGGGUGGGCACCAGGGUAUAGAUCUCUCGAAAUAGAAUUGCAGCAAGUAAAAACAUGCAUUCAAGUAGGUCUAAACUGCGUGAACCCUGAGCGCUCGGAAAGGCCUACAAUAACGGAAAUUAUCAAUAUGCUUCAAGGACCAAAAAUUAUUGAUUGCAGCAUUAGCCAUGCGACGACAUUACCCAUAUGUUCCAGAAGUGCUGAUUCAGUGGUAUCGAUUGAUUCUGAUGUGCUGAAAAGUUUAGCAUGGAGGAGGUUUUUCCUUAAAAAGAAGAAAUAUAUGCUUAAAAGUCUGCCAAAGCUAAGUCGGCAGGAGCUUGAAGUAGUAUGUGAAAGUUUUAGCAACGUUAUAGGCUCAACUCCGGGGACUUUGGUCUACAAAGGAACAAUGAAGGAUGGGCCUGAGGUUUCGGUUAUAUCAGUAUGUGUCUUGGAAUGUCAUUGGACUAGCCAGCAUGAACUCCUUUACCAGAACAAGGUUGUUGAUCUGGCAAGGCUGAACCAUGAGAACAUAGCAAAGUUUCUGGGGUAUUGCAGAGAAAAGGACCUGUUUUCGAGGAUGGUAGUCUUUGAAUAUGCAUCAAAUGGAACACUAUACGAGCAUUUACACCAUGGGGAGGCAUCCCAAUUAUGUUGGCUUAGGCGAAUGAAAAUAGCCAUCGGCAUCGCUCAAGGUUUAAGGUAUUUGCACACGGAGUUGCAGCCUCCAUUUCCUAUAUCAGGGCUGAACUCCAAUUCAGUUUAUGUUACAGAAGAUUUUACUCCGAAGCUGGUUUAUUUUGAAUGCUGGGAAAUCAUGUUUUCAAAGCAUGAGAAGGCGCUCGGCCAGUUAAAUGACAAAUCUGCUUUUCCAUGCCUCAAACAAAACUAUCCGUCUUUCCCAAGUCCGGACUCUGCAGAGGAUGAAAAUGCUGACAUGCAAAGCAAUAUAUUUGCUUUUGGAGUGAUUUUACUAGAGAUCAUCAGUGGGCGGCUUCCUUACUGCAAGGACAAGGGCCAUUUGGUUGACUGGGCUAAAGAGUACCUCCAGCAGCCCGGGGAGAUGUGGAAGCUGGUCGACCCCGAGCUGGCCAAUGUCCGGACCAAGGACCUGGCGGUGAUCUGCGGCGUGGUGAGAUGGUGCAUUGACCCUAUCUUGUCGAUGCGACCGAUGAUGCCGAUCAUUGCAGAAGCACUGGAGACCGGCAUCGACCUGUCUGCGGCCGGCAUCCUCAACGAGUCCUCCUCUCUGGCGUGCGCGGAGCUCGCUCUGUCGUUGUUCAACACGUUCAGACUUCAGUCCGGCUGUAGUAAAUGCAUAUACGAAAUCAUUGAGACGGAUCAUCCCCCCGUCUGUUUGAUUUGUGGUGGCACGCACCGCACUCGCAUACGGUAA